CUCAGGCUUUGUCAAUAAAGCUUCUCAACAGUCAACACUGAGGUCUCAGUCAGUGUUGCUUUGUGAGCAGUCUUAUGCUUUUUAUUUCUUUAAAAGCAGCUGCUCACUUCUAGUUAGAAACAGGCUGCUGCAGGGAGCACGAAACAUACCAAUUGACAGAUAUUUCAGACAAAAUGUUCAUGACAUCCUUCUUGUCUCUGUUUUCACAUACUGCUUUACUGUGAAGGCAAAACAGGGCAGAGAAUGCCUUGUGACUGUAUUGCAGCUGUCUGUUUUCAGAUAAGACACAAAAAUGCUAAGGAAAAUGUUAGGAAUGUUUGGGAUGGAGCCUGCAUGAGUAGAAAAUAAAGAAAUACAUGAAGGUAUUCACUACUUUCCGAAAGCAAGUGGUGUGGUUUAAAACCAGUCAUUAUAAAGCCACAUUGUCCAUAUACCUGACAUUACUGCUGAUUAGCUACACUUGUUAAAUGCUGGAUAAUAUUAGCAAGCCUAGGAAAAGAUAUUCAAAGUUUUGCGUUUUUUGUUUGUUUGUUUGUUUUUGUCUCCAUUACAGUUAGAACUGAAAAAGGCUGCAAAAGGAAUUACAGAGAUUGGAGCUGAAAAAAAAAUGUGAAAAACAAUUCAGUGCUCACACUGGCAUUCAUGUUUAAUUGCAGGAGCGAUGGCUUCCAGUACCAAGGCUCUAAACAUGGGAUCCUGAGAUAUGGCCUAAUCUUUUACCACAGUUUGCAUGAAUUCCCUAGCAAUGCACUGUGUUACAAGUCAGUAUGGGCACUUCCUGAGAUAACAAGAAAGCAAGCAUUGGUUUUGAGGCCCUACACACCGUGCUGAGAAAUGAACAUAUCUGACUUCAUAGGAUGGCUGAAAGAAUGACCCAGAAGAACCUGUGCUUGGAGCUGUCACUGGAGAGCAAAGAGCAGGAGGAGUUUGGCAGAGAUCAAACAAAAUGCAAGAUAAACAAGCUCUGUUACCCAAGAGUCACAAAGCUUCUUAACAUUCCACUUGAGAUAAUUACCUACCAGGAAAAGCUGAUCUAAUCUGAUACUUUUCCCUACUCUUCCUUGUAUAUGUGGAGUACAUGACACUCUGGAUUCUGGGAACACUCUGGAUUCUGGGAAUGGCAAACAAACUCCAAGGAUGUUGAAGUUUUUCUGCUUGGGGCUGAAGCUGGUUAAAGAUAAGCUAUUUCCUGAGAAACAGAAGUACUUUCUCAGUGUUUCUUCAGUAAGAAAACCCUUGAACCGGCUUACCCCUCAAAAUUUUCUUUGACAGUGCUUAUUCCCAUUUGGAACCUCACAUCGUUUCCCUUCUUUUGUUAUUUUAUGCUCCAAAUCUGAGGUUAGGCAAUGUAACUAUUAGUUUUAAAAUCAGAAGGACCAUACACUCCGGUUUCCUGUGGAGAUCAAAAACAAUUAACUUAGUCUCUCUCAAAGAUAUCUGGUGGCAUAAUCAACAUUGAGCAGUUCCCACUGGUUUUUGCAGUGACAGUCAGACACUUUCUGAAACAAACAAACGUUAUAGACCUUUAGUCUAACUUAUUACUUUAAAGUCUGAAAUUAAUUGUAGAUAAAGGAGUAAUAUAAUUGUUUUCAGUAUCUUCCAGAUUAUUCAUUUCAUUUUGAAGUUUAUUUAUUUUGGAGCUAAAC
rnacentral:lncRNA from 1 species